rnacentral:rRNA from 1 species
GACGAACGCUGGCGGCGUGCUUAACACAUGCAAGUCGAGCGGAGCGGCGAACGGGUGAGUAACACGUGAGUAACUGCCCCCCUCUCUGGGAUAACAGUUGGAAACGGCUGCAAAUACCGGAUAGUGGGGGAUGACUCGCGUCGUAUCAGCUUGUUGGUGGGGUAGUGGCUUACCAAGGCGACGACGGGUAGCCGGCCUGAGAGGGCGACCGGCCACAUUGGGCUGAGGUACGGCCCAAACGCCUACGGGAGGCAUCGGUGGAGAAUAUUGCACAAUAGGGGAAACCCUGGUGCAGCAACGCCGCGUGCGGGAUGACGGCCUUCGGGUUGUAAACCGCUUUCAGCGAUGACGCGGUAGUGGCAGAAGAAGCACCGGCUAACUACGUGCCAGCAGCCGCGGUAAUUC